rnacentral:siRNA from 1 species
CAGGUUGCUUAAAAUAAGAUUCCA